rnacentral:lncRNA from 1 species
UGGAUAAGCAGCGUGUGCUUUCUUCCGAUUGCUUUGUCCCUUCGCCAUCGCAGGAAGCAGCUGCGGGUUAAUUAGUUGAUUAAGCAGCGCAGGAGGCUCAGACCAUAAAUCACUGCCAGAAGGGGCUGCAGGUGUGGGCUGUGUAAUGUAGGAGAGCUGCUUGUGGGGGCACGAGGAGGGGGGUGCGGGGCUCCUGGGGGGCUGCCCGGGCUGGGUGCACCCCUGCCUGUGGGGUGAGCUGGGCUGGGGGCGCCCAGGGGAGCUGGGGGCAGUGUUGGUGUGGGAUGUGGGGCUGUUCCCCACGGGGUGGCUGCCUCUGGCACCGCAGCCACCGCUGGGUGCUCCUACCCAUUUCCCUGCGCUAGAGUUAAUUAAAAGUGAGUAAUUACAAUUGCUUUCUGCCCCGUGCCACAGGAGACAAGUGCCACUCCUGCCAUAUGGCACGGGCUGCUCCUCAGGCACGUUCUCUCCCCCUCUCCUUUAAUUAAGGAUGCCAUCAGCUCUGGAUGUCCCCAGGACGUGACCGAGCACCUCACCGCUGCCCAGGCUGGGCCCUGCUCAGCAGCCCGUGAAGGGAGCAAUGAAUCACAGAUCCCUUUGGGUCCCGCUCGGCUCUGCCUGCACCGUCAGCACUUCCCCUUCGGAGGAAAUAAUUAAGCGAAAAGUUGCCAUAAAGCACGUGAAGAAAGGGCUGGCUGGAGGCAGGGGGCAGCCCGUGUGCAGGAGGGGCUGUCCUUGGGGGGCACGAGGCUUCCAAAAGCAAGGGGAGAGCUUCCCAACCUCCUCGUGUCCCCCUGCGUCCAGCUGCAGCCAGAGAGCUCGGUCCCAUUGCUUGCCCUACAGGAGUGCAGCGGGCUCGGCGUUGCCGCGUGCUCAAAUUAUCCUCGCUUUUCAGCGCCAAAUAUUCAUCUCCGUUUUCAGCCCUCUUGUCUUUUUUCCUAAAAUUAACAUUUAUUUCAGACAUAAUCUAACCUGCCUGCAGUGCCGCGUUACAAAGAGCGCUCCCCUGGGAAGGGAUUUCAGCCUCCUUUGUUCCCGAGGUUCUCGAAAAAAGAAACCUUGGGAAAUCCGGACUGCGAGUUUCGUGCCUUGGCCUGGGGACAUGGGUCACUUUUGGAGGCCAAAUCUCAGAUGAGGUAAGGAAUCCUUGGUUUAAGUAUAAUUCAUGAAGCCGAGCUAACGAGAGUAGGUUUUUUAAUGAAUUUGUGGCCAGCAAAAUAACAGGAGCCUGAUUUGGUAACAGCAAAUGGCAGAGUCGGUACGCAAAGGAAUACAAAUCCUGGCUUCUGCUACAAAAACCCUAAUGAAUGUGACAUUUCCAGAGAUGAGCUGUAACAAAAACAUCUACCCCUUGUAACUAGCUUUUCCCUGCUGCUGGGAGUGACAUUUCCGUGCGUGCCGUUGGCAGCGGCACCGCUCCUGGAGCAGGACUGGGAAACUUCUAUUUUUGCAGAGCGUGUGUAAUCCGCAGCAGCCAUAAACACCAGGAGCGCAGCAUCUCCCGGAGAGCUGCCCGGCGAUUUUAGCUCGUUUUAUUUCUCUUUCUCUCCAAAAUAAGAGGAAACAAACGGAAACGUGCUCGGGUCUCCUCCCCACGGCAGAUGGCUCUCAGCCUCUGCUCGUGCUCCUGCCCGCGUGCUGCAGAGCACGUGGCCCUCGCUGCCUGCCAGGUACACUG